GCCAGUGUGGCUCAGUGGAUAGAGCGUGGGCCUGCGGAUUUAAGGGUCCCAGUUCGAUUCCGGGCAAGGGCA
rnacentral:tRNA from 1 species